rnacentral:rRNA from 1 species
GACGAACGCUGGCGGCGUGCUUAACACAUGCAAGUCGAACGGAAAGGCCCUGCUUUUGUGGGGUGCUCGAGUGGCGAACGGGUGAGUAACACGUGAGUAACCUGCCCUUGACUUUGGGAUAACUUCAGGAAACUGGGGCUAAUACCUGAUAGGUGCUCCUGCUGCAUGGUGGGGGUUGGAACGUUUCGGCGGUUGGGGAUAGACUCGCGGCUUAUCAGCUUGUUGGUGGGGUAGUGGCUUACCAAGGCUUUGACGGGUAGCCGGCCUGAGAGGGUGACCGGCGACAUUGGGACUACGAUACGGACCAGAGUCCUACGGGGGGCAGCGGUGGGGAGUAUUGCACAAUGGGCGGGAGCCUGAUGCAGAAGUGCCGGGUGCGGAAUGACGGCUUUCGGGUUGUAAACCGCAUUAGCCUGAGACGAAGCGUUUGUGACGGUAAUGGGUAAAGAAGCACCGGCUAACUACGUG